CAGUCGCCACGGUAACACGAAGGGGGCUAGCGUUGUUCGGAUUUACUGGGCGUAAAGCGCACGUAGGCGGAUCGAUCAGUCAGGGGUGAAAUCCCAGAGCUCAACUCUGGAACUGCCUUUGAUACUGUCGAUCUGGAGUAUGGAAGAGGUGAGUGGAAUUCCGAGUGUAGAGGUGAAAUUCGUAGAUAUUCGGAGGAACACCAGUGGCGAAGGCGGCUCACUGGUCCAUUACUGACGCUGAGGUGCGAAAGCGUGGGGAGCAAACAGGAUUAGAUACCCCCGUAGUCCCUGUCUCUUAUAC
rnacentral:rRNA from 1 species